GAACACUUUUUCAAAAGGAAAAGAAAACGGAGACAUCGGGUCUGGAGGGGAAGAUGCACAAAGCAAAAUUAAGACAAUGAGAAGUCCUGUAACCAACAGAAACGGAGCCAUCUUCAUUGAACUGGCCCUCGCCACCCUCGCCAUAGUCCACCAGGCUGUCGUCACUCUCCUGCUGCUUGAUGGUGCCGUCCAGAGAUGUCUGACUGCCCUGCAGAGGCUUGUUGUCCUCAUCACUGGCCAAAGAGAGACAGAGAAUCUCAGGUGGUGUGGGAUGGGGCAGCCGGCCUCCUGCCAACACAUGUCCUACACAGCUCAGAGAGGAUGGGACCCAGGAGACCACCCAGUCCAGCCUCCGCUUCACCCUCCCCUGUCCAGCCUGCUCUACAGAAGGGAAACGGAGGCCUAGAGAGGACAAGCACCUUUUCUAAGGUUAGGGCUCUUAGACUCAUCCAAGGGAGGACUCUAGGACGGAUGCUGCAGACCUUCCAGAGCCAAAGCAGAGGGCACUUGGUCUGAGAAUGACACUCCACAGCCCACUCUGCAUCAUCCCUCAGCUCAGAACGUAUUCGUGAUCUCCAUGGACAACAAUGUUGUUAAGCCCAGAUACGAAGAUGCAUCCAGUGUCUCCUGGGGAAGCAGCCUCGUCUGGCACUCUUAGGAUGAGAAGCCUCUGAGUAAAUUCAGCAGCACGCACUCUCUACCACAGCGCCGCCAGAGAGGCAAGGUGACGGCCCAACGGGCAAGGACGGCUACUCAUGGACUCUCAGCCAAGUGGAGCUGCUCUGAGUUGCCAAGUUGACUCUGCCGCCUCCUUCUCAGCCCCAGAGGUCUCUUUACAUCUCCACUGACAACUGAAAUCUCCUCCUACCAAGCUCCCCCAACCACCUCUCCAUGAAGUCUCCCCAAAAGACCAAGCAGAUGUGAUCUUUUCCUUUGCCAAAGAACCAGAUAAGCCCAGCACAGCAGAAGAGAGUGAAAGGAAACAUCGCUCACCAAUUCCUAACGGAUCCAGUAAUAUCAGUGUGCAAAGACCAGGGUGCGUUGACACUCGCCACUCUCAGCUGUAGCUGACCGGAGCCAGAAGAGCAUCCUCUCGUCCGGCCCACACACCCUUACACUGGACUAGAAGACAUGUUUUGUGUGCCCUCCACACCUCCCGCUGCAACACCCACUCAGAAACAGGCAAUACACCUGCAAAGCAGACAGCUCUCAUGACUCCUAAUUCUAACUGAGAGGAAUUGGGUUUGGCCAGGAAAGAAAGACCAGUCACUCAAAGUCUACAGAAGAAUUAUGUUCUAGAAAUAGGGAUAGAUUAACAAAUAUAACGGGGGUAGAUUUUCCCCAAAUACAGUUUGGCUCAGCUGUUCUCACUUAAGCACCAUUUGACACCUCUCCACACCUUGCCCCAUCCUCGUUGACCGAAGAGAUGCUUCUUCCAAACACAGCAGAAGCUGACUGCAUUCAGGUCCCCUGAGGCCCUGCUCCCUGUUCUCCUGAGGUCCGAGGCAGGCUGCUAUCUGACUGCUGGCCCACUCUCAGCAUCCGCCAUCCUCCUGCCUUACCCCAUCCCUCACCCAGCACAGAAGGGCUGAUGGGCCUCUUGGAGUCCAGGGUUAUGUGUUUGUAGCCCCUCAGGUCUCUUUGGCUUCAAACACUUGAAGGAGGUGAUUAACUUCCCAUUGGGAUUUUUUGGUGAGGGUCAGAGAGGCUGUCAGCCUUCCCAGUGGUUUCCUUCCUGAACUGCUAUAGUGCGUUCAAGUCUGCCGACUAAAGUGACAGCCUGUGGUUGUCUAAAUGACCAGUGGUCAGGGCCCAGAGAUGCUCAUGAGUUCUUGCUUUAAUGAAACACAGGGAUCUGUGGGUUGCAUGGACUUGGCUCUGGAGUCCAUCCACAGGAAAGAGAAUGUGUAUUUUUGAAGGAUAUGGACACACACUCACAGACUUCAGAAAGUGAAAAUAUUUCCUUUCCCUAUGUGGUCUGCAGACAGUAAUUUCCAGUCAGCCUGUGAGAGAAGUGGACAAUAUGUACUCAGAGCUGGGCUCAUCAACCUGCCCACUCCAGCUCUCGCUGGGAGGAGUCUGGGAAGACUUGCCAGGGCUGAUUGUUUCAUCACUGGAAAGCAAGCUAUCAAAAUGGGCCUUUCCACCAAGCACAGGAAAAGAGAAACAAGUAUUUAGGUUCAGAAGCAUACCUGGUAUCAUUCGGUUUUCUAUGGUGUGCUUAAUACCCCAAAUCAGAUUAGGACAUCCCUCAGGGCAGGGCCUGAACCCUCACCCACAGCCCUAGGGCUUAGCACCUGGAGAAGUCAAACUCUCAAAGCAGGCUGUCCUGGUUUUGGCAGUCUUCCCUAGGAUGGAACCCUAUUUUCAAAUACCAUCUUUGCUUUUUGCUGCUGUGCUGGACUCAAGUAUGUAAUGAAGCAAAAUCAAAUGCACAUACCAGUGAGCAACAGCUUGGGACCUCAUCUGAGCUAGACAGCGUCCAGCCACUUGCUCUGCUCGGUCCACUGUCCAGUUGCCUGGCCUGGCUCCCCUUGUUACAGGACAGGCUGGCCACUCGCUCAGACAUCCUGCCUGAGUCGGCCUGGCUAGCCUCAAUCAGGGAGCCCGACUCUCAGACCCUCUGAGCCUUGAUGGCAUGCAAAUGCACAGGACAGGCAGAGACACAAGGAGGAAGACAGGAUGCCGGACCAGGAGGGACUAGGAUAGAAGGGGUGGGGUAAGACAUUUACACAGAUGGGCAGGGACUCCCGAGAUGCAAGCUACCAGGAUCAGCCUCGCCAGGCCAGGUGCAGGAGGAGUAAUGAAUAUUUAAGUCAACAUUCAGAAGUUCAUAUAAAUCACUGUGUUUUUUUCCCCUCCCCUAUCCUGUGUAUCUAAUGACCCGCAUCUGAUUAGGAUAUCCCUUGGGGGCAAGGUACUGAUUCUUUUCUCUCUUAAUCUCUUUCCCCACCCUUACCCGUAGCUCUGGGACUUAGCAUACAGGCCACUUGGCAGCCUGCUCAGCUGAGUUUAAAGCUACACACACACACACAGACCGGCGAGUGCCCUGGCCGCAAUCACUGUUUCCUGUCUACUACGCAUGCACACUGGGCUCCUCUAGGCUUCCUGAGAGCCUUCAGCUGAUGCAUAAUAAGAGCUGAGACACGCCAUGCAAGAUCCCUUGUCAUGUCAGUGUAAGGAAAGGGCCCAGGAAAAAGGCCGUGUGUCCAGGAGCAGGAGGCCACACAGAGGAGAUGUGUGCCAGCCCCCUGCCCUUCAAGCAUAGAAGUGCUGCAGGAAGGAGAGGGUUAUCUUUAAGAGCCAAGAGUCUUGAUGAAAUUUGCAGGAAGGAUGUACUUUUGAAGCUGGAGGAGAAUGGUGAUCCAGACAGCCUAGAAUCUCAGGGGCCCGAGAAAGGCAGUGCGAACGCUUCCUCUCCCUCGCGUGAACUAGGUGGGACCAAGAGAAGAUAACUCCUUGACAACCAGCCCUCAGUGGUCCAGAUACCAGAAGAAUCCUGUUCUGUUGGCUUCUCAGCACCACCAAGUUUUUGAUGCCCAAUCUCUAUGCAACACAGAGGACAUUAAUUAUCAAGUUCCUAUGAGCUGGGAGCCACUUUAUCAAAGCCGUGGUGCUGUCUGAAACCAUAGCCUGUGUACAGGAGAAGGGCACUAAUCUUCAAACGUAAUCAUUUUUCAAGAGUCCCAGCAGUCUGGUUACCCCAUUUUCCAGCAAAGAUUUAAUAGUGGAGUACUCGCAUGAAGCCUUGUAUUUCAAAGACUUUACAAGUAUGGCUCCUGUAUAUUUUAUUAGCAUGCAAGGGGGCAC